GAGUGUCAGCAGCCUCACACAGAGCUGCAGCACUGACGCACUCUCAUCCACAGUGGUGUGUAGACAGAGGGCUGUUAUGGAGUGCCACUUUACAGAUGAGGUUUUACAGUUCCGGACAGGAUGAUGUCCUUACAUGCAACAUAUCUCUACCAUAUGCACGGUGUGCUGUUUUUUAGCAUAGGGUGAACUGUAUAUAGUCUGACACCUCUCCUGGUGUCAGCAGUGUGCGUUCUUGGUUCAUUUUCCUAGAUGACAUCCUGAGUCGGAGAAGCUGGAAUACAUACUUUGCUUCAAGUAAUUAUCAGGAGAGGAGCCCUUAUCCAGCUGUGGGCUCGGGACUUUUCACUACUUUUACUAAUCAGUAGAAGGGGAGGAUGUGAGGGCCUGGAAGGCCCGAUAGUGUGGUCUUCUCCCCUGAAGCACAGCUAGGGAAUGGGCCCAGGAUCUUUGCUCCAGCCUCAGAGAGACAUGGAGGACUAUUACAGUCUUCUGCAGGCUGGCACUGAGCUGGAGAACACACUGCAGCAGGUUUCAAUUCCUGUGAGUAUGAAAGAAGUGGCUGGCUUUAUCGAGAAGCAAGUGGCUUUUUUAUCAGGGGGCCGUGGCGAGGAUUCUAGUGUCAUCAUUACUCUCCCAGAAUGCUCAGAUUUCAGUGAUAUCCCAGAGGAAGCUCUAGCUAAAGUCCUCACAUAUCUCACAUUGAUUCCACGAGCACGUCAACCUGGAGUAAAAUUUAUCAUCAUUCUGGACCGAAGACUGGAUACCUGGAAUUCCAUCAAGACAGCACUUGCAAGGAUAGCGGCAUCUUUUCCAGGAAAUCUUCAUCUGGUGUUAGUACUGAGACCAACCAGCUUCUUCCAACGCACAUUCACAGACCUUGUCUUUCGCUUCAGCCAAGAGGAUUUUAUGCUCAAAUUACCAGUUGUGAUGCUGAGCUCAGUCACUGACUUACUGCGCUACAUUGAGGAGAAUCAACUAACUUCUGAAUUUGGAGGCACUCUGGAAUACUGCCACAGUGACUGGAUCUUCCUCAGAACUGCUGUAGAGAGUUUUGCAGUGACUGUGAAGGACAUUGCUCAGAUGCUGCAGGCCUUUGGCACAGAAUUGGCAGAGAUGGAAUUAUCACAGGAGAGCAAUGCCAUCGAGUUGCUGCUGCUGUCACACACUGAGAAAUACAGGAAAUUGAAGGACGCUAUCAGCUCAGUGAUGAGGGAGGGACGCUACCUGCUCUCUAGCCUGGAGGCUUCUGGGAAGGAGGAGAAUAAGGAUACACACUGGGACAUAACACAGGACUGGGACACAGUGCAGAGACUCCUGGCACAGCUGAGGGACAUGGAGAUGGCUUUUGAUGAUUUCUUUGACAAGCACCACCUCAAACUUCAGCAAUACCUGCAGUUACUGAGAUAUGAGCACAGCUUUCAAGAGAUGGAGAGUUCAUUGGAGAAGUUGAGUUCUCAGGAAUGGAAGCUCAUUGUUACAGGAGAAACACUGGCACAGACAGAGCAGAUCAUCAAAGAGCUGGAUAUUCUAGAGAAACGAGCCCAGGAGGAAAUGACUCGGGCCCAGGUGAUGAUAUUGCAUGGACACCAGAUGGCUGCAGGUCAUCAUUAUGCCACUCCUCUAAUUGUACAGCGCUGUAAUGAGCUCAGACACCACUGUGACACACUAAACUCUGCCAUCAGUGCUAAAUGCAAAACACUCAUACAAGUGCAGACCUUAUUGCAACACCUCGAAGAGGCCCAGAAAUGGUGUGAUGAUGGCACAUGCCUCUUGGCCAAUCAGCAGUUAGAAAAAUUGAACUCUAGAGAAGGUGCUCAGGCAGCUCUGAGCGAUUUAGAGAAGUUCCAGGAGGGGGCGCCAACGCUCUUUAAUGCUGAGACAGACUUACUUUUUAUGGAAUAUGAGGGAGUCCUCACUCCUCACUUACAGACUCAUAUAGAGAAGACAUUUGAGAAGUAUACCUCUGUACAGAAUCUAUUCCAGACUAGACAGACCUGCCUGAAGAAACUAGCAGACAAACAUGUGCGGCCAAUACAGCUGGUAGUACCUCGACCAGAGAAUCCACCACGAUCCAAGUCCCCAGUCUUUUCUCCCAAACAUGAUCUUAAUUCAAGUAUGAAAUUCACCUUUGACUUCUCAGGCAAAAGAGCAACUCGGAAAAGCCCAAACUCCAGGAAGAUUGAGGUGUUGCACGACUAUCAGAACCGCAACGCUACGUCCUACACUGUGGAUGGCGUGGAUGGAGCAGACCUGCGGAAACAUCAUGUAAUGAGGGAGCUGAUCGAGACAGAAAGGAUAUAUGUAGAAGAGCUUCUGACUGUGUUGCUGGGCUACAGGGCAGAGAUGGACAACCCCUUGCUCUCUUCUCUCCUGCCCACCUGCCUGCGCAACAAGAGAGAUAUACUGUUUGGAAACAUGCCUGAUAUCUACAGUUUUCACAGCAGAGUAUUCCUGCAAGACCUGGAGAGCUGUCUGGACACGCCUGAAGCUGUGGGAGCAUGUUUUCUAGAACGGAAAGAGAACUUCCAGGUAUACGAGCGUUACUGUCAGAAUAAGCCACGAUCCGAGUCCUUAUGGAAGCAGUUUUCGGACUGUGCAUUUUUCCGGGAGUGCCAAAAGAAGCUAGAGCACAAGCUGGCUCUGGAUUCAUACCUGCUGAAACCAAUUCAGCGUCUUACCAAGUACCAGCUCCUGCUGAAGGAGUUGCUGAAGUACAGCUCAGGGUGUGAGAGGGUCUCCGAGCUGCAGGGUGCACUGAACGCCAUGCUGGACUUGCUCAAAUCUGUUAAUGAUUCUAUGCACCAGAUUGCCAUCACAGGAUAUGAGGGUGAGCUGAGUGAUUUGGGCCGAGUCCUGAUGCAGGGCUCCUUCAGUGUGUGGAUCAGUCAUAAGAGAGGCGCGACACGGAUGAAGGAGCUUGCACGCUUCAAACCCAUGCAGAGGCACCUGUUCCUGUACGAGCGUGCACUCCUCUUCUGCAAGCGCAGGGAGGAUCAUGGCGAGCACGCUAAUAAGACACCUUCCUACAGCUUCAAACAUUGUCUUAAGAUGAGUGCUGUGGGCAUCACAGAGAAUGUAAAAGGAGAUGUGAAGAAGUUUGAGAUCUGGUACAGUGGCAGAGAGGAGGUGUAUUCGGUGCAGGCACCGACAGUGGAGGUAAAACUUGCUUGGUUGAAUGCAAUUAGAAAAAUUCUCACCAACCAGCAGAAACUAUUUAAAGGUGAACUUUGUCACUCCAACCCACUGGCUGAACAUUUUCCUCUGUCUCCGUCCCUCUCUGAGAGGGCCAUGCGGCCUUCCCGUGGGGUUCUUACAGGUUGCCUGCCACGUCUGGACCUUGUGUCCGUGUCAGCGGGUGCGUGUGUUUGUCUGCGCUCCCGAAGCCCACGCCUCGCUCGCCCUUCCCAGCGCCAGUGACGCUCCGCGGUAAAGCGGGUCGCUCUGAUUCUCUUUCAUACACACAGGGCUGCAGCAGCUGCACAUCCCUCAUGUCAUAGCUUACCAUCAGAGACCUACUGUACUUCAUGCACCAUCCAUAACACAGUUCUGCAUGGUAUGCAAAUGAUGAGAAAAUUCAGAGCCUCUGGUAUGGCUCCAUGGUUUUGGCUGCUGAAACCAUGCUUAGAAGUAAUAUUUCAAUCACAGUGCUUAUAAAGAAGCUGAUGUUUGGCAUGAUGCUUAGUAAUUAGCCAAUGAUAGCUUUCAUCGAUCGUUAAGCACAUCAUGUCCUUUCGGGGUUUGAAUGAAACAUCCCUUUAUGACAGAGCUCACUUUUUAAACCUGAGACCAAUACAAUUAUUUAUUUUGUUUAUAAUUCUAUUAUGACUCACAGGCAAGUGGUGAACAAAUAAGCUUUGAAAUAAAAACCUUGACAAAUCGCAUCAUACUGUAAUUACUUUUGUUUCAUUUUGGCUCAGCAUGUGGCUGUGCUCUAAUAAGUUCUUCCUAGGUCUGAAUGCAAGCUUGUAUAUUCUAAUGCAGUUUAUGUUGGGCUGCUGGACAACAUGGCUUAUUUCUUUGGGUAAAGUGUUUGUGUUUGUUUGAGAGAGCAUUUAUUCAGUUUCUUUAGUAUAUCCUCUUCCUCACCUAAUACAGCAAGAAGCAAAGAGCGUCAGUCAGCUCGGAGGAGACGGAGUCGGGCCACAGCAGUCCAGACCCGUUUAGCCUUUCUCCACAACACAAGGACAACAGACACAGUUGGCCAGGUGCCACUCACUCAGUGGAUAUCUGUGAAGAUCUGGAGG